GCCCAGGAUCCUAACCUGGGAAUCCCGGGCUGUUGAAGCGGAGCACUCGAACUCAACCACUCGGCCACGGGGCCGGCCC